rnacentral:rRNA from 1 species
UACGUAGGGUCCGAGCGUUGUCCGGAAUUACUGGGCGUAAAGAGCUCGUAGGUGGUUUGUCACGUUGUUCGUGAAAACUCACAGCUUAACUGUGGGCGUGCGGGCGAUACGGGCAGACUAGAGUACUGCAGGGGAGACUGGAAUUCCUGGUGUAGCGGUGGAAUGCGCAGAUAUCAGGAGGAACACCGGUGGCGAAGGCGGGUCUCUGGGCCGAUACUGACGCUGAGGAGCGAAAGCGUGGGGAGCGAACAGG